rnacentral:rRNA from 1 species
UGAGGAAUAUUGGUCAAUGGGCGCGAGCCUGAACCAGCCAAGUCGCGUGAAGGAUGACGGUCCUAUGGAUUGUAAACUUCUUUUAUCAGGGAAUAAAGUUUGGUACGUGUACUAUUUUGUAUGUACCUGAUGAAUAAGCAUCGGCUAACUCCGUGCCAGCAGCCGCGGUAAUACGGAGGAUGCGAGCGUUAUCCGGAUUUAUUGGGUUUAAAGGGUGCGUAGGCGGGUUUUUAAGUCAGUGGUGAAAGUUUGCAGCUCAACUGUAAAAGUGCCAUUGAAACUGAAGAUCUUGAGUGCAAAUGAGGUAGGCGGAAUGUGUUGUGUAGCGGUGAAAUGCAUAGAUAUAACACAGAACUCCGAUUGCGAAGGCAGCUUACUGGGAUGCAACUGACGCUGAUGCACGAAAGCGUGGGUAUCAAACA